rnacentral:rRNA from 1 species
CCUACGGGUGGCAGCAGUGGGGAAUAUUGGGCAAUGGAGGCAACUCUUACCCAGCAAUGCCGCGUGAAUGAAGAAGGUCUUUGGAUUGUAAAGUUCUUUAAUUGGGGACGAAAAAAAUGACGGUACCCAAGGAAUAAGCCCCGGCUAACUACGUGCCAGCAGCCGCGGUAAUACGUAGGGGGCAAGCGUUGUUCGGAAUGACUGGGCGUAAAGGGUGUGUAGGCGGUGUAGCAAGUUAGAAGUGAAAUACCUAGAGCUUAACUCAGGUGCUGCUUCUAAAACUGCUAUACUUGAGUGCAGUAGAGGAAAGUGGAAUUCCUAGUGUAGCGGUGGAAUGCGUAGAUAUUAGGAGGAACAUCAGUGGCGAAGGCAUCUCACGAAUCCGCGAUUGACGCUGAUGCACGAAAGCGUGGGUAUCAAACAGGAUUAGAUACCCCAGUAGUC